rnacentral:rRNA from 1 species
GUGGGGAAUAUUGGACAAUGGGCGCAAGCCUGAUCCAGCCAUGCCGCGUGAGUGAUGAAGGUCUUAGGAUUGUAAAGCUCUUUCACCGGUGAAGAUAAUGACGGUAACCGGAGAAGAAGCCCCGGCUAACUUCGAGCCAGCAGCCGCGGUAAUACGAAGGGGGCUAGCGUUGUUCGGAAUUACUGGGCGUAAAGCGCACGUAGGCGGAUAUUUAAGUCAGGGGUGAAAUCCCAGAGCUCAACUCUGGAACUGCCUUUGAUACUGGGUAUCUUGAGUAUGGAAGAGGUGAGUGGAAUUCCGAGUGUAGAGGUGAAAUUCGUAGAUAUUCGGAGGAACACCAGUGGCGAAGGCGGCUCACUGGUCUGGUACUGACGCUGAGGUGCGAAAGCGUGGGGAGCAAACAGGAUUAGAUACCCUAGUAGUCC